GAGCCAGCUCAGCCCAGCGGUUCCAUCGACCAAAGCAUUAGUUAGAUCUCCUACUCUCCUCCAGUGGUUUGACACCAGCGGGCGCUGCCUGGCUUUA